CUGAUCGCAUCAUGCAGUUGCUGCAGAUUUGUGGGAUGCACAUCCAUGAUGUGAAUCUCCCGCUCCACCACAUCCCAAAGCUGCUCUAUUGGACUGAGAUCAGGUGACUGUGGAGGUCCUUUAAGUAAGGUGAACUCUUUCAGGUGGACGUCGUGUAGGUGUGUGCGGCUCAGGUAAACAGCCAAUAUCAGGAUUAAUCAUCACAUGGCUCUGUGAAGAGUGACAGUAACACUGUCCUCAGCCCAGACACACUCAGGAGGAGACACAGGAGGUAGGGCUGAAAUGUCUGGAUGAGGUGUGCUUUAAGAUCCCCCUUGGCUUUCUUGAGGAUGCAGAGGAAGAAGUCAAGCUCAUCCCAGCUGCAGAUAUCCCUCUGCCUGACUACCUGAAGAUACUGCAGGAAACUGAGGUCUGAUACUCUGCAAAAUGCAUGUUUUUAACCUGAUGCUAUCAGAUGCCUUCAAAUUGCAUUUAGACACUUUACACACACUUUUCACAUGGUCAAACAUUUGCAGCUAUUCUUUUUGGGAAUUACUUUUAACAAGCUGGAUCCAUUAAUUUUAGUGGAUGUAUGAAGUCAGUUCUUCUCAGUUUCACACAGGCGUAUUUCCAUGCAUCAAUGUUCCACUAACAUUUAACCAUCAAGACGUCAUCUUCCCUCCUCCAGAGGAGUCAGAGCUCUGCUGGUCAUACUAAUGCAUCUUCCACAAUUUCCCACGACAACUUAUAGUUCAAAUGCACCCCAAAGGCCCAGGACUCAUUCUCCCCCCCGGCCCCAUCGCGGCCGCUCAGUUCCCACGCUGCCGUCCUGGACUCGUCGGUCGAGCUGCUCUCCGCUCUCAGCCCAGAGGAGAGGGAGCUGCUGGUGGCAGUGACUGAGCGGGGCUACCCUCUCCAUACGGCCAUCAUCACCCUUCAGAAAACUGUCCGGCAGAGUCCAGAGCGGGUCAGUGAGGGAGAUCUGUUACAUGGAUUCAGUCUGAAAUAAGAGAUGGGACUCAUUCGCGGGUCGAGAUGUAAUGCUGAGAUCUCUCCACUGUCCUUGGUGUAUCACAGGGGAAGGUCAAUCAAAGUGCAUGCUGGGUAACCAGUAUAGUUCAGUCGUCAGUGUGUUUAUACACAUGCACUAUUGCCAGAGAUUUCACACACAAUCUCUGAGUGCUUCAGAUUCAGUUCUGUGUCCCAGCUAAACAUCUGGCUCCAUCCUCUUUUAUCUGAUUCUGAUGAAGUACCAUGAGAAAAAAACGUCAACAAAAAUAGACACACAGAAGUUUCCACAUUGAGCUAGUAGUUCUCAGGAGGACUUUUUUGAGUCAUCAAGCCAUACUCAGUGGCAAAUAUCAUUAACGUUGUUGGGCACUGUUGAAAAAAAAUACAUUGAAGUUUAUUUAAAAGGGUUUAUGACUGAAAGGCUAUAAGUAAAUCAGCAUUUGAGCGCUGGGUGGUGGCAGUGCUGAAUGAAGCCAGAGAAAUUUGCUGGAGAAAACACUGCAUUUGACUGAUCUGUAUAAAAUCAUAUCAUGUGAUCUGCGAUACUGCUAAAAUAAUUGUAUUUUCACAUUACAUUUUGUCUAAUAAGAUACAUUAGUUCAAUUUUGACUGCCUGUGAUACUCACAUGCAGGGUUAUUAUAGGUAAAUAAAUAAAAACUGAUUUUUUUUUUAGGUAUUUCAAAAACAGUUGGACCUUUUUGUGCUACAGCCAGCCUUUUGUAAAAUACAGAAAAAAUACUCCAUUUGGUUUAGAUAAGUGAUAUGCAGUUACAGUAAUUAAUAUAGUACAAUAUCUAUAUUGAUGCAUUUAGGAUG